rnacentral:lncRNA from 1 species
GGUACGUCUUUGAAACACAUAUCAAUGGACUCCAUCACGAGUGUACUUAAGUUUGGUCCUUCCCCCUACAACAAAUCAACUGGAAAGAACAUCUAUGAUGAUACUAGUUGGAUAAACGGCGACGGUUAUUUCAGUUUUUCCAACAAGAACAAUUUAGUAGCCAUAGGGUGUGACAUUUAUGCUUACGUCAAGGAUUUAGACAUCAGUAGUGGAGAUAAUAUUAUAAGUGGAUGUGCUUCUUUCUGUGGCGACUCCACCAAAAAUGUUUCAUCUUCUUCAGCUUCAUCAUCUUAUUGCACUGGGAAUAAUGGUUGCUGUCAGUCUGCAUUUACAAAAAUACCAAGAGGGAUGAGUUUGUCUAUACAAACAAUGAACACGGAGAACACAUCGUGGACAUCAAGCAAUUGCACCUAUUUAUUGUUUGUGGAAAAGGGCAGUUCUGAGUCUGACAUCACUCAGUUACUUGGUAAG